AGCCAAUAUACGGGUUCGAAUGGGACCUGGUUGAAUUUAAAAUUUUUAGGAGUGAGAUCUAGAUUUUGAGAACUAUAAAAUUGAAUUGGAUUUCAUAAAUUUUAAUUCAAUUAAAUCCUGAUUCUCACUCCUUAAUUUUUGAUUCUUUGAGUUUUUUAUUUUUAUUAUAUGUAUUUCCGGUUCAGUUUGAAGAGGAGAUUUCACCCAAUACUCUUUGCAGUUCGAAAGUGGAAGCGUUUUCGGUAGUACUUGGAUCUGGAGGAGCUUCCACUUUCAAUUGCAAAGGGAAUUGGUAGGUGAAAUGAAAUUUUGUAUUCUGCUUCAAAGGACGCAAGGAUCGUAAGUAAUUUUCUAUUCUACCUUGCAACUUAUUCUCACUUUGUUAUGAUUUUAAAUUUUAGGGUAGAGUGCAAUCUGCUUUUUGCUUUUGCUUGAUAUGGUUACCAAUUUGGGACUGCCUGUUACCUCAUUUUAUGGGUUGUAUUACCUCACUUUAGAGCUUCAAGAUCCAGUACCCUCCACAAAAAUCCAAAAAACUUCCCACAUCCCACCACCGUCAACCCCAAAACCGAUCUAUAUUUAAGGAUCCCAGUCUGCAAAUUCAAGAGCCAAAUUUCUAAACAGAAAAAAACCAGAAGGAACUUUCAGUUUAGUCUACAAAUGACAAACAAAGCGAGAACUACCUAACCAUGGUAAGGAUCCGAUCCUCAUCUGCAUAAAGCCAUUCACCA
rnacentral:misc_RNA from 1 species